GACGAACGCUGGCGGCGUGCUUAACAUGCAAGUCGAGCGGUAAGGCCCUUCGGGUACGACGAGCGGCGAACGGGUGAGUAACACGUGGGUGACCUGCCUCUAGCUCUGGGAUAAGCCUGGGAAACUGGGUCUAAUACCGGAUAUGACUCCACGGCGCAUGUUGUGGGGUGGAAAGCCUUGUGUGGCUAGAGAUGGGCCCGCGGCCUAUCAGCUUGUUGGUGGGGUGANGGCCUACCAAGGCGACGACGGGUAGCCGGCCUGAGAGGGCGACCGGCCACACUGGGACUGAGACACGGCCCAGACUCCUACGGGAGGCAGCAGUGGGGAAUCUUGCGCAAUGGGCGAAAGCCUGACGCAGCGACGCCGCGUGAGGGAUGACGGCCUUCGGUU
rnacentral:rRNA from 1 species